UACAGCCUUCAGAGUGACGGCACAGUGGAGGUCAUCAAUCAGUCCCUGCAGUCCGAUGGGCGUGUCACCUCCACCGAGGGAAUCGCCCGUGUGGUAGACCCCUCUGACCCCGCCAAGCUGGAAGUGAACCUCUUCACAGGUUCCAGACCUGGCCCUUACUGGGUGCUGUCCACCGACUACGACAGCUACAGCCUUGUGUACUCC